GGGGGGGUGCUAAUACAUGCAAGUCGAACGAACUCUGGUAUUGAUUGGUGCUUGCAUCAUGAUUUACAUUUGAGUGAGUGGCGAACUGGUGAGUAACACGUGGGAAACCUGCCCAGAAGCGGGGGAUAACACCUGGAAACAGAUGCUAAUACCGCAUAACAACUUGGACCGCAUGGUCCGAGUUUGAAAGAUGGCUUCGGCUAUCACUUUUGGAUGGUCCCGCGGCGUAUUAGCUAGAUGGUGGGGUAACGGCUCACCAUGGCAAUGAUACGUAGCCGACCUGAGAGGGUAAUCGGCCACAUUGGGACUGAGACACGGCCCAAACUCCUACGGGAGGCAGCAGUAGGGAAUCUUCCACAAUGGACGAAAGUCUGAUGGAGCAACGCCGCGUGAGUGAAGAAGGGUUUCGGCUCGUAAAACUCUGUUGUUAAAGAAGAACAUAUCUGAGAGUAACUGUUCAGGUAUUGACGGUAUUUAACCAGAAAGCCACGGCUAACUACGUGCCAGCAGCCGCGGUAAUACGUAGGUGGCAAGCGUUGUCCGGAUUUAUUGGGCGUAAAGCGAGCGCAGGCGGUUUUUUAAGUCUGAUGUGAAAGCCUUCGGCUCAACCGAAGAAGUGCAUCGGAAACUGGGAAACUUGAGUGCAGAAGAGGACAGUGGAACUCCAUGUGUAGCGGUGAAAUGCGUAGAUAUAUGGAAGAACACCAGUGGCGAAGGCGGCUGUCUGGUCUGUAACUGACGCUGAGGCUCGAAAGUAUGGGUAGCAAACAGGAUUAGAUACCCUGGUAGUCCAUACCGUAAACGAUGAAUGCUAAGUGUUGGAGGGUUUCCGCCCUUCAGUGCUGCAGCUAACGCAUUAAGCAUUCCGCCUGGGGAGUACGGCCGCAAGGCUGAAACUCAAAGGAAUUGACGGGGGCCCGCACAAGCGGUGGAGCAUGUGGUUUAAUUCGAAGCUACGCGAAGAACCUUACCAGGUCUUGACAUACUAUGCAAAUCUAAGAGAUUAGACGUUCCCUUCGGGGACAUGGAUACAGGUGGUGCAUGGUUGUCGUCAGCUCGUGUCGUGAGAUGUUGGGUUAAGUCCCGCAACGAGCGCAACCCUUAUUAUCAGUUGCCAGCAUUAAGUUGGGCACUCUGGUGAGACUGCCGGUGACAAACCGGAGGAAGGUGGGGAUGACGUCAAAUCAUCAUGCCCCUUAUGACCUGGGCUACACACGUGCUACAAUGGAUGGUACAACGAGUUGCGAACUCGCGAGAGUAAGCUAAUCUCUUAAAGCCAUUCUCAGUUCGGAUUGUAGGCUGCAACUCGCCUACAUGAAGUCGGAAUCGCUAGUAAUCGCGGAUCAGCAUGCCGCGGUGAAUACGUUCCCGGGCCUUGUACACACCGCCCGUCACACCAUGAGAGUUUGUAACACCCAAAGUCGGUGGGGUAACCUUUUAGGAACCAACCCCCCCCUU
rnacentral:rRNA from 1 species